rnacentral:rRNA from 1 species
GAUGAACGCUGGCGGCGUGCCUAAUACAUGCAAGUCGAGCGAACGGACGAGAGGCUUGCUUCUCUGAUGUUAGCGGCGGCCGGGUGAGUAACACGUGGAUAACCUACCUAUAAGACUGGGAUAACUUCGGGAAACCGGAGCUAAUACCGGAUGAUAUUUUGAACCGCAUGGUUCAAAAGUGAAAGACGGUCUUGCUGUCACUUAUAGAUGGAUCCGCGCUGCAUUAGCUAGUUGGUAAGGUAACGGCUUACCAAGGCAACGAUGCAUAGCCGACCUGAGAGGGUGAUAGGCCACACUGGAACUGAGACACGGUCCAGACUCCUACGGGAGGCAGCAGCAGGGAAUCUUCCGCAAUGGGCGAAAGCCUGACGGAGCAACGCCGCGUGAGUGAUGAAGGUCUUCGGAUCGUAAAACUCUGUUAUUAGGGAAGAACAUAUGUGUAAGUAACUGUGCACAUCUUGACGGUACCUAAUCAGAAAGCCACGGCUAACUACGUG